GGAAGAAGAGCUUGUCGGUUAUACCCGGCAGGAAUUGACGGUACCACCAAAGGAAGCCCCGGCUAACUCCGUGCCAGCAGCCGCGGUAAUACGGAGGGGGCAAGCGUUAUUCGGAUUUACUGGGCGUAAAGCGCACGUAGGUGGCAUGGUAAGUCAAAGGUGAAAGCCCUCGGCUCAACCGAGGAACUGCCUCUGAAACUGCUUUGCUUGAGUCC
rnacentral:rRNA from 1 species